rnacentral:rRNA from 1 species
GGGCCCGCACAAGCGGUGGAGCAUGUGGUUUAAUUCGAUGCAACGCGAAAAACCUUACCUACCCUUGACUUCCUCGGAAGCUUUCAGAGAUGAGAGUGUACCUUCGGGAACCGAGUGACAGGUGCUGCAUGGCUGUCGUCAGCUCGUGUCGUGAGAUGUUGGUUAAGUCCCGUAACGAGCGCAACCCCUAUCUCUAGUUGCCAGCAAGUAAUGUUGGGGACUCUAGAGAGACCGCCGGUGAUAAACCGGAGGAAGGCGGGGACGAGGUCAAGUCAUCAUGGCCCUUAUGGGUAGGGCUACACACGUGCUACAAUGGUGCUGACAGAGGGCAGCUAGCUCGCGAGAGUAAGCU